GGGGGCACGGCUCAUUGUUAAAAUACUGGUAACAGUGUGAGCAUACAGAAGUCUGGAUGCAAAAUUUGGUUGCUCUAGCUUCUAUGGUCUCUGAGAUUCAUGCGCUCAACAAGACGGAAGGACAGAGGGACGGACAGAUGUUUCCUUCUGUGCGUUACAUACAUUCACUUUGUGCAGAAAUACAAUACUCUUCGAGUACCGGGUAUAAAAACAAACAGUUCAUAAAG
rnacentral:lncRNA from 1 species